CAGGUAAUUGAUUUGACUCAUUUAAUUACCAAAGCUAAAUACCCACAUAUUCUACAUUACACUGAAAAGAAAUUUUGUUGUUGCAAAUGAUUCCUUCACUUGCUUUUAACCCCAAGGGACAACCCCAUGGUCCUGAAAUUGGUCUUCAUACUUCUUGGUUAAUCCUAAGAUUGGAUCCAGAUUCUGGAAAUAUUUGAAAGGGAUUUCUUUGGAUACAUCGAGACUGAAGGCACUCCCCAGCACGGGAGGGAGGCAUCACUCAGCAAGCAGGGCUGUUUUGGGGAUGCCAAACCCAGCUCCAGGAAUCACACACACCAUGAGGCUCCUAGCAGUGAGCAAGAAAUGAGACAAACACAACUUCAUUGGUAUCUGGAGGAAAAUGGAGAAGGAGCAGCUCAUUCUUAUCAUCAAUGGCUCUACUUGUGGGACUCUCCUGCCUCUCCUGGCACUUACCAGGCCUGGAGAAAUCUCAAAGGAACCUCAGAUAGAAGAAGAAGGUGCAAACCUUCAGUAUCCUCACUGCCCAACUGAUAGCACAGAGGCCCUUUGGAGUUUCCACAGCGGGGUGUUUCACUGCUGAGUUAAAGCAGAGAGUGCCUUUGGCCCAAGAGAGAAGAAUCCAAUUUAUGGACUGGAUUUACAGGGUGUCUUCACAGCUCUUGGAUGUGGAAUUGCUGGUACUGAAUCUUCACCCAUUUGAUGGUCAAACGAACCUCUCUGCCCGUAUGAUGUACUUUUGCUAUGGCACGUCUGCAUCACGGAGCCCCUGAGUCAACCACAGCCCCUGUAGUGCACGCAGAGUGCAGGUAGAUGCUGAGUUUCAGAAAGGGAGGGCUGCCCUUGCCCAGCCUUGGAACACAGGGCAAGCUCAUGUGCAUCUUCAUAGACCUCCCACAUGCUACCUGCAAUGGGACUCCCACAGGAGCAUCUGCAUCUACUGAGUAGACAAGCCCAGAGUUUGGUCC